CCGGUUGAUCCUGCCGGCGGCCAUCGCUAUUGGAAUACGAUUAAGACAUGCGAGUCGAGAGACGUAAGGUCUCGGCGGACCGCUCAGUAACACGUGGAUAACAUGCCCUAGGGUGGGGGAUAAUCUCGGGAAACUGAGGGUAAUACCCCAUAGGUCUGAUCUGCUGGAAUGCUUUCAGGCCGAAAACUCCGGUGCCUUAGGAUUGGUCUGCGGUCUAUCAGGCUGUAGUGGGUGUAACGGACCCACUAGCCCGUGACGGAUAUGGGCCUUGAGAGAGGGAGCCCAGAGAUGGACUCUGAGACAUGAGUCCAGGCCCUACGGGGCGCAGCAGUCGCGAAAACUUCGCAAUGGGGGCAACCCCGACGAGGGAAUUCCAAGUGCCAGCACUUUGUGUUGGCUGUUCUCCUGUCUAAAAAACAGGAGGAGUAAGGGGCGGGUAAGACGGGUGCCAGCCGCCGCGGUAAUACCCGCGCCCCUAGUGGUGGUCGAUAUUAUUGAGCCUAAAACGUCCGUAGCCGGUCUUCUAAAUCCUUGGGUAAAUCGGGCAGCUUAACUGUCCGAAGUCCGGGGAGACUGGGAGACUUGGGACCGGGAGAGGUCAGAGGUACUUCUGGGGUAGGGGUAAAAUCCUGUAAUCCUGGAAGGACCACCGGUGGCGAAGGCGUCUGACUAGAACGGAUCCGACGGUGAGGGACGAAGCCCUGGGGCGCAAACGGGAUUAGAUACCCCGGUAGUCCAGGGUGUAAACGCUGCGGGCUUGGUGUUGGGGGUCCUUAGUGGGCGCCCAGUGCCGGAGAGAAGUUGUUAAGCCUGCUGCUUGGGGAGUAUGUCCGCAAGGAUGAAACUUAAAGGAAUUGGCGGGGGAGCAC
rnacentral:rRNA from 1 species